GUGCCAGCCGCCGCGGUAAUACCGGCAGCACGAGUGAUGGCCGCUCUUAUUGGGCCUAAAGCGUCCGUAGCCGGCCGAGCAAGUUCGUUGGGAAAUCUGCCCGCUUAACGGGCAGGCGUCCGGCGAAAACUGUCCGGCUUGGGGCCGGAAGACCUGAGGGGUACGUCCGGGGUAGGAGUGAAAUCCUGUAAUCCUGGACGGACCACCGGUGGCGAAGGCGCCUCAGGAAAACGGACCCGACGGUGAGGGACGAAAGCUAGGGUCUCGAACCGGAUUAGAAACCCCGGUAGUCC
rnacentral:rRNA from 1 species